GUGCCUAAGGUAUGCAAGUCGAACGAUUCCUGUAUCUUCGGAUACAGGGAGUGGCAAACGGCUGAGUAACGCGUAGGAACCUACCCCAAACUCGAGUAUAGCCCCGCGAAAGCGGGGGUAAUCCUCGAUAGCCCGUGAAGUAUUUUACUUCACGGUAAAGCUUUUGCGGUUUGGGAUGGGCCUGCGUCCUAUCAGGUAGUUGGUGAGGUAAAUGCUCACCAAGCCUAUGACGGGUAGCUGGUCUGAGAGGAUGGUCAGCCAGACUGGGACUGCGACACGGCCCAGACUCCUACGGGAGGCAGCAACUAGGAAUUGUGCGCAAUGGACGAAAGUCUGACGCCGCGACAUCGCGUGGAGGAUGAAGGUCUUCGGAUUGUAAACUCCUUUUCUUACCGAACAAGUUCUGAGUGUAGGUAAGGAAUAAGUGCCUGCUAACCACGUGCCAGAAGCAUCGGUAAUACGUGGGGCACGAGCGUUAUCCGGAUUUACUGGGCGUAAAGAGAAGCGUAGGCGGCUCAAUAAGUUUGGUGUUAAAUCUUCCGGCUCAACCGGAAACAAGCACCGAAAACUAUCGAGAUUGAGUCGAGUAGGGAAGAGGGGAAUUCCUGGUGGAGCGGUUAAAUGCGUAGAUAUCAGGAGGAAUACCAAGGGCGAAGGCACCUCUUUGGACUCGUACUGACGCUGAGGCUCGAAAGCGUGGGUAGCAAAACGGAUUAGAUACCCGUGUAGUCCACGCCGUAAACGAUCCCUGUUAGAUGU
rnacentral:rRNA from 1 species